GCGUGGGGAGCAAACAGGAUUAGAUACCCCUGGUAGUCCACGCCGUAAACGAUGAGUGCUAGGUGUUAGGGGGCUUCCACCCCUUAGUGCUGAAGUUAACGCAUUAAGCACUCCGCCUGGGGAGUACGGCCGCAAGGCUGAAACUCAAAAGAAUUGACGGGGGCCCGCACAAGCGGUGGAGCAUGUGGUUUAAUUUGAAGCAACGCGAAGAACCUUACCAGGUCUUGACAUCCUUGGACAUCCGUAGAGAUAGGGAGUUCCCUUCGGGGACCAAGUGACAGGUGGUGCAUGGUUGUCGUCAGCUCGUGUCGUGAGAUGUUGGGUUAAGUCCCGCAACGAGCGCAACCCUUGAUCUUAGUUGCCAGCAUUCAGUUGGGCACUCUAAGGUGACUGCCGGUGACAAACCGGAGGAAGGCGGGGAUGACGUCAAAUCAUCAUGCCCCUUAUGACCUGGGCUACACACGUGCUACAAUGGAUGGUACAAAGGGAAGCGAAGCCGCGAGGUCAAGCAAAUCCCAUAAAACCAUUCUCAGUUCGGAUUGCAGGCUGCAACUCGCCUGCAUGAAGCCGGAAUCGCUAGUAAUCGCGGAUCAGCAUGCCGCGG
rnacentral:rRNA from 1 species